AUAGAAAAAGCAAACGGAAAAAGAAAAAAGAAACACAUAAGAAAUUGUCUCCCUAACCUCAUCCCGUUUGGACCCAAAAACCACAAAACCAAAAGAAACCAAACCACACCGUUCUCUCUCUCUCUCUCUCUCUCUCUCUCUUUUUCUCUUUCCUCUUCUCUCUCUAACCAAACCCUAAACACGAAGACUUUCUUUUCUCUUUCUGAAAUUUCAAAUUCGCAAUCCGAUGUUCUAAUCCGACACAUCUCUGCGUUGAUCCGGUUUACAUAGAUUCAAUGCCGUUUUUGGUUAAUCAAGCAUACUUGAUGGCUAUGGUUACACAUAUGGAUAAAAUGUCAGCUCCUUCAUCAAGGGAGCGUGCCCAACGCCUCUAUGACAAGGUUAUUGAAUUGGAGAAU